AAGUGUGUGCUGCCCAUCCUGCUGUUCUUUUCUUUCUGAAUGGAAAUUUUUGUAGGGAAGAUGAUGAAAGAAGGUUUCCUAAGGAGGUUAGGGUCAAGGAGAGGAGACAAACAAAGCUCAGUAGCUGAGCGCUCUCCCCUGUUGGACAUGCGUAGCUCUGGCACCCAGGGGCACGGUACACCCAGCGGAUUGGAUGGCACCUCCAGCGGGUCUCACAGCCUCUGUCCCACACAGACUUCCUCAGUCACAGCUCAGGCAUUUUCUUCCUCCUUUCCUUCCUUUCCUAGGGAGUUUCUUGUUUGUUUGUUUGUUUGUUUUUGAGUCGGGGUCUCACUGUGGGUCCCUUGCUGUCUUGGAACUCUAUAGACCAGGUUGUCUUAGAAGUCAGAGAUCCGGGGUUGGGGAUUUAGCUCAGUGGUAGAGCACUUGCCUAGCAAGCGCAAGGCUCUGGGUUCAGUCCCCAGCUCCGGAAAAAAAAAAAAAAAAA
rnacentral:lncRNA from 1 species